UCCGCCGUCCUCCGCCACCGUCUGCUGAAAAAUUUUUGAUCUCAAUAUGGUUCCUCCAUUGUUAAGAGAUACCUACAACACUAGAAAUGAACGAUCUCCUCGCACGACUUCCAUGAUAGUGUACUCUCGCAAAUGUUUCAUCGAUAUGAUCUGCUCGAGCUCAUUACAAUAAGAGAUAAAAACCAAUGCUUUCGAGCAAUAGUUACUUACCGAAGAUAGGUUCAUGAGAAGCUACAACACUUCACUCAACAUAGUGACUUUAUUUGGACAUUUACUCCCGUGUUGUUGGCUAUAGGGCACAAGAACAUCGAAGGAUAACUUAUUACCUCACUGCAUUUGGUGUAGACUUAGAUGAAAAUGCAAAGCGCGUUGAGUUGAUAGGGGUUUAAGAGGUGUUUUGCUUUUUUGAUAUGAAGAUGUAGGUUAUUUGUUUGUAAUCUCUAGAAUAUGACUUCUAGAGUGAUUCCCUACCUAAACUUGGACCGGUUUGCAUCUACACGAAGUCAUAAGAGGCACUUAAAUUAUAGAGGAUCCAAAUGACCCCUUAAGCUAUAUUUUGGUAUUUGUUGUACAAAAUGUCUUUUCACGACACUUACUUUAUUUAUGUGAACGUUACCACAUAUCAUUCCUUCGGACGCUGGUGGUUCCCUUUUGAUGAUUUGUCCUGGGGGAGAGAUCACUUAAGCUCUCAAUAGAUGAACAACCUUCUAAAUACAAGACAAGCUUUUGGUUAAUAAAUGUUAUGUAUCCCACAUACUACAAACGGAGGCUUUAACACACUGUUCAAUAACAAGAUCGGGCUUAUGUUGAGAUCCGUGUGCACUAUCCUGGUUUUAUACCCGAACACCUUUUCAUAUAAGCUAUGAUGGAUAUCUUUUGACAAUUGACUCUUUGGCUGCUGAUGUAGAUGGUCAAGUGGGCCAUAGAAUUGUGAGAAUGUUGCUCUUCCAUAUCACACCGGAGUCUACAGAAUAUCCCGUGUCAACAAUUAGUGUAAAGUGUUCACUUGAUUCAAUACCUUAAGAAACACUAUUCUUUGUUGAAUCUUUGUUGCUAAGAUCAUUUGACAGAUUUUUCGAGUUAACCACUCAGCUUGAAGCCCCAAUCAACAACGAACCAAAUCUUUGGGGUUGAUUGAUUUAAAUCUGUUAACGAAAAUCACUAGGCUUCCAAGGUUAUAUCAAGAUACUAAAUCACCUUCUAAGAAGGUAAGGCUAUACAUUGUACAUCCCACCAAAGCCAAACGUGAAAAGAAACUGUUAAGAAGAUGGACGCUUUAUUUGCAAGAUUGGACGCCUUAAAUGAUGAUGUACUUUGGCAAAUGUUCCACCGGUUCGAUCUCCUUGAGCUCAAUACGGUAACAGAUCAAAACCAAAGGUUUGAAGCAUUGGUCACUGAAGAUAGCUUCAUGAGAAGCUAUACUGGCUCUGUCUGGACAUUCAUCCAUUUCUAUCCAACAAAUCCCUCGCAAUCAUCAUCUUGUUGGCUAUCGGGCAUAGGAUAAUCGAAGAAUAACAUAUUAUCUCAGUGCAUUCGGUAUAGACAUGGAUGAAAGGGAGAUCACAUUGAGCUGAUUGGGGGGUUAAAAAGUGUAAUAUUUUUUGGGUAUGAAGACGUGGGCUAUCUAGUUUGUAAUAUGUGGGAAUGACUUCAAGAAUUAUUCUUUACCAACACUUGAAUGGUUUGCACCUAAAUGAAGUCGUAAGAGGAACCCAAAUCAUCGAAGAUCCACAUGACCGCUUAAGCUAUAUAGUGGUAUUUGUUGAAGAAAACUUGUUCUUGAAGCACUUUGUUUUAUGAACAUGGUCGCAUAUCAUUCCACCAGAGGUCGGGGUUCCCUUACGGUGGUUUGUCCCGGACGAGAGACCUUUUAAGCUCCGAACAGAUGAACAGUCUCCUCACUACAAGACAAACUUUCUGGUCAGAAAAUCUUAUGUAUUUAACAAACUUGGGACAAAGACUUCAACACACCUUUGAACAACAACAGUGGGCUUAUGCAGAGAUCCAUACUCACCAUCCCAAUUUUAUACCGGGGUGCCUUUGUCAACAAAGCUUUGAUGGAUAUGCUUUGAUGAUCGACACUUCGCCUGCGGAUGCAGAUGGUGGUAGAAUGUUUUUAAAAUAACUUCUUA